AUUGAACGCUGGCGGCAUGCUUUACACAUGCAAGUCGGACGAGUGGCGAACGGGUGAGUAACAUAUCGGCACGUACCGAGUAAUGGGGGAUAACUAAUCGACAGAUUAGCUAAUACCGCAUAGUAUUCGAGCGGCCGAUAUCUGAUUAGCUGGUUGGUGGGGUAAAGGCAUACCAAGGCGACGAUCGGUAGCGGGUCUGAGAGGAUGAUCCGCCACACUGGGACGGAGACACGGCCCAGACUCCUACGGGAGGCAGCAGUGGUGAAGUUUGGACAAUGGGCGAAAGCCUGAUCCAGCCAGGCCGCGUGUGUGAAGAAGGCCUUCGGAUUGUAAAGGACUUUUGUCAGGGAAGCGGUACCAAAAGAAUAAGCACCGGCUAACUACGUGCCAGCAGCCGCGGUAAUAC
rnacentral:rRNA from 1 species